UUAUUAUUAUUAUUAUUAUUAUUAUUAUCAUUAUUAUUAUUAUUAUUAUUAUUAUUAUUAUUAUUAUUAUUAUUAUUAUUAUUAUCAUUAUUAUUAUUAUUAUUAUUAUUAUUAUUAUUAUUAUUAUUAUUAUUAUUAUUAUUAUUAUUAUUAUUAUUACUGUAGUAUCUGUAGAUGUUUUGCAAAUAUCAUUAUGUAACAGCUGUAAUUCAACUAAAGAAAGGUAUUUUAAUUGUGACCAUCCUCGCAUGUUGAUUUUCUAUUAUUGGUGGUUCCAAUAUGUUUUCACGAGAAUUCUUGUUUAUCUCUAAUAUAGUGGAUAAAGGUCACUUUUUUUAAUCUGAUUUUUUCUUUUAAUAUUAGUAUUAAGUGUAAUAAUUAGUGUGAGUAGAAUAAUGUUUGUAGAGGUGAGUUGACCUCCUGUUGUAGGAGUGUUGUGAAGAGCUUGCAUAGACGAGUGGGAGUUUAGUUCAAAAUAAUGGAGGGAAACUCGAGAACCUUAUAAACUGGCCUCAACUCCCGUCUCUUUUGUUGGCAUAGGCAGGUUUUUUUUUAUUGUUCAUGUACACCUAUCUGCUGCUAACAACAGCAACCAGGCUACCCCACCUCCCCACAUCCCCUAGAGAUGCCUACAAAAUGGUAGAAAUGUGUCGGUUGAUGGAGAGAUACUGAGGAAAGGAGAUAGUUUUCUAGAGACCCUGAAAACCUUAGCACUGGAGAAUCAGUCCAGGCCUGUAAUCUAGGAUUUGGGGAAGACCUCAGCAGCGGUCUGAAGGAGGAAUGUAUCAAGGCAUUAAAUCAAGGGAGGAAACCCCAGACAGUAUGUCAAAGCAAGGGAGUUCCUCGGGAACUGUGUGGAGUGAUUGUUAUAAAAUCAGUAAGCAGGUUCUACUGUAAUAAUAGGUAUCUGUUCCUUGCAUUUUUUUUUUUGGGUGUCAUUGAUUUCAGAUUUCCAUGUAAUGUGUUUAUUAAAUUGUAAAUGGUUUUA